ensembl:lncRNA
CCUUUAUCCUGCCUUUCAUAUGGGGCAAUUGUGAGCUAAAUCAGGCCACGUGGCUAUAUCUUAUGCAGGUGUAAAUGACUGAAGCGUACUUUCAAAGUGUGAUUCAGCUGUCAUAGUUUAGUUGUCUGUUUUCAGAUGAGAUGAAUUGCAUUGCAGAAAUGCCAGUUUAUUCUUAUUGACUAUAAAGGGAGCCUUGGGUGACCAGCUCAGAUAAAAGGAAAACAUAACCAAAAAUGGGAGAGAGUAUCCGAGAAAGAGUGUAUGAGCAUGUAAUGAAAGAAUGCAUCAUCACUCUUACAGGCUCUGAAGCUAAAUGAAUAUUGCAUGCACCACUGCCAUCUCACAUUUAGUAAGUACUUAUCUUUCAGCCUUCCUGUUAUCUCAGGGUAACGCGCUAUAACAGUCUACCAAGAGGAUUCACAUCAUGGACAUGAACGCACUCACAUACGUUCUUCUCCCCACUAUUCCCUCAACAUGAAGAUGAAGUUUCUCAGGAGACAAAGAACUGUUCAACACUGUUAUGAAAUCGAGGACAGAAAUCCAACUGGGAUAAUGUGCAAAGCGUGUGGAAUUAAGGCAAGAAUCACAGAAUUGCAGGAAUUGGAAGAGACCUCAAGAGUCCAACCCCUGCUAAAGCAGGUUCCCUACAACAGGUCACACAGUGGCUGAACAUCCAUACCAUCAAUGGAAAUGGAGACUAAGUCUUUAUCUGAGUCCAUAUCACAUCUAUGGGAGUUUUUCCAUUGACCUCAAUGGGUCAAAGGGAUCAAGUAUUUUAUUUUAUUUUAUUUUAUUUUAUUUUAUUUUAUUUUAUUUUAUUUUAUUUUAUUAUUUUAUUUUUUUGUUAGAAUUUCUUUCCAUCAAGUUGGAGAAACAGGAUGUAAAUAUUGAGUCACCGUCCCCAUUGCUAACCAUGCACCAAGAUUAGCCAGUUGGACUUGGUGUGGGACUUACCUCCUAAGAGGUCAUGAUCCCCGUGACCGAGGAGCCCAUUCAGGUAGGGAUGAGUGAAUUUUUGCUUUGAAAUAGAUGUCAUCCAUCAGUAGAUACUACAAGCAAGACCUCAAGUUCCAGAAAUUUCAACACUUUCAAGUCAAGGGCUGGGAUCCAUCCUGGACUGCUGCUGGUUUGGGCUGUUGGUGAUAAAAUGCCAAAGCGCAGCUCGUUUUACAACUUACAUCUAUUGAAACUGCCAACAGAGCUCCACUGAUGGAGAGUCACACUCUUCCCAACAGCUUUUAGAGCUCAGUGAAACCAAAGCUGCGAAGAAGAUGUAAUAAAAGAAACUGAAGAGGAAGUGAAAGGGAAGAAGACUGUGUGAUUUUUGAGGAAGAAUCUACAUGCAGGUGAGGAUGGAGUCAAAGUGAGAGCACUGCACUGCAGCCAGUGAGCACAACAGCAAGUGCAGGGGAGUUGCUGCCUCAGUAUGUAGCAGGUAAAACAACAUUGCUCUGAAUGCUACUAUGCAGCAGGUAGUGAGCUCAGUACAUUUUUUGCGUGGAGCAAUUCAUCUAUACUUCAUGUAAAGCCACCCAAAAAUCCUCUGAUAAAUUAAAUUCAUAUAUAUUAAAUUCAUGCCAUCCAGAGGGAUCUGGACAGGCUUGAGAGAUAUGCCCAUGCCAACCUCAUGUAGCGCAGCAAGGCCAAAUGCAAGGUUCUGCAUCUGAGUUGGGGCAGUCCCAAGCACAGAAACAGGUUGGGUGGAGAGUGGCUUGAAAGCAGCCUUGAGGAAAAGGAUUUGGGGGUGUCAGUUGAUGAAAGGCUCAAUAUGAGCCAGCAAUGUGCGCUUGCAGCCCAGAAAGCCAACUGUAUCCUGGGUUGCAUCAAGAGAAGCGUGACCAGCAGGUCGAGGGAGGUGAUUCUGCCCCUCUACUCUGCUCUCAUGAGGCCCCACCUGGUGUACUGCCCCAGAACAAGAAGGACAUAGAGCUGCUGGAGCCAGUCCAGAGGAGGGCCAUGAAGGUGAUCAGAGGGCUGGAGCAAUUUCCCAAUGAGGAGAGGCUGAGAGAGCUGGGGCUCUUCAGCCUAGAGAAGAGAAGGAUCCAGGGAGACCUUAUAGAGGCCUUCCGGUACCUGAAAAGGGCCUACAGGAAAGUUGAAGAGCUACUUUUUAUAAUGGCAGGUAGCGACAGGAUGAGGGGAAAUGGCUUUAAAGUGGAAGAGGGUAGAUUUAGACUAGAUAUUAAGAAGAAAUUCUUUACUGUGAGGGUGGUGAGACACUGGAACAGGUUGCUCAGAGAGGCUGUGAAUGCCCCCUCCCUGUAAGCAUUCAAGGCCAGGCUGGAUGGGGCUUUAAGCAACCUGGCCUAGAGGGAGGUGUCCUUGCCUAUAGCAGGGAUCUUAAAGGUCCCUUCCAACUCAAACCAUUCUCUGAUACUAUAGUAUUACAGUGCCCAAGGUAUACCUGCUUGGCUGUCAGUAUGCACACUGGAUGUCAUGACUGGAUGCUAUUGGAAAGCAGACGGAGAGGAAAAUUUAAGCAGUAAGCAUACAAUUAAAUCUCCUCAUGCCUGGGAAGUCAUACAUGUGAAAAAGGGAAACACUGUCCUGGUCCAGAAGAGGUAGGUCUUCAGCAAAGAGCUUGAAACUGAAGGACACAACACAAAGUCUACAUGAAUAAGAUAUCAAGUGACUUAAGAGCUAAAGGUUUUCACUUAGUUUCAGUAACUUCAAAAUUUUAGAGUGUCAGUGGAAGAGCUAACAAGUACCUAGAGGCAGGAGGCAGGGAACACAAUAGUCUUGAAAUGGUCUAGGCAGAGCAGGAGACAAACAUGUGGAAGGACAAGGGAGCAGGGAAAGGGCAUUGCAAAGGGUCAUCAGUAUGAGUAGAAGCUUUCUCCAGUGUAAAACGGAGAGAAGAUUGAGGGAUGGAUUAUGUUUAGAUACAUGACUCAGACUGCUGAUUUUGAGCUCCGUUUCUGAACAAAUUGCCCCAGGACCUUCACCUGCUGCAGCCCAUGUCUGCACAGAGGUGCAUCUCCCCAGGCUGUACGCCACCUUCACCACCACUACCCUCCCUUCUCCCAAUAGGAGUCAGUCAAAAGCAGUGAUCAACAUGGAAAAGACUACAUAUUGAACUGUGAAAACAGUAAGAGAUGUAUGCAUUCCUCCUUGAUGCACGUAGCCUUUAACCUUCAGCCCAGAUUGCUGAGCCUACAUGUGCUGGGCAUGCUGGGAUCUAGGGAUGGAGGAGGAUGGCUAAGUUCAUCUCUUACUUUUGUGCCUAAGGUACACGAGGAAAUAACAAUAUGAAGGCAGAUCAAAGGUCCAUCUAGCUCAGCGCCUUGGUAGGGGUUGGGAGAAAUUCCUUAGGGAAGAUCCUUGAGAAUGGGCAGUAUAGCAGCUGAGGCUCCACUUAGAACAGCCCGUUGGCUUCCAGCAACUGGCAACUUACAGCCUCACUGUCCCCAGGGUUGUGUCCAGACCACCAAGUUUAACAGCCAUUGCCUUACCUUCCCUGAAUCUGUCUAAUCCCUUCUUGGACCCAUUACUUCACAGCUCUGUAAUAGACGUUCUCACAGACACCACUUGGCAGUGAUACACGUAUGGGAGAAACCAAGCAUGCCUGAGCUUGUUAAAGAAAAUAAAAAUACAAGACAGAGUGGACUUCCAGAGCCUUCCUUCCCUCCCAGCCCUCUUUUGAGGCCUUGGUUUCUCAGCUCCUCUGCCUACCAGGGGCUGCUUUCUGCCUCCUCUAGCUUCUUCUGCAGGCAGAAGCCCAGCCAGGAGGAUGGAAGCUGGAUGAAGCAUGCUGGUGACAACCAGCUGCUCAUCACAAGUUUUAAAAUGGCCCUGAUGCUGUAUUUCACACAAAGGCAGGUGGGCUGAGGAUGGUCCAGAUAAAUCAGGUCAUACAUCUGCUGUGGAAAGCAUGCCCCAAGGGCCAGAUGUGUUCCGCAGCACUUAUGUGCUCCACUCCUCCAAUCGCCCCAGGAGCAAGCCAACUGGGUCCCUUUAAAAUCUGCCCCUUUGGUGUUGCUACUACACCACUAAUGAUUUACCUCUGUUUAGCGCUGGCAGAAGCAGUGGCUUUGUUGACUUGGGUGUGCAGCUGGUUCCUGGACAUUCCUGGGGCAAAUCUCAUGAUUGCUGAUGCCAGUGAAAAGCUAUGCUGAGCCUGAUGGACCCACACAGCAGCAAUGGGAUCUGUCAACAGAGAUUGAUGUCAGCGUUAAAUCCAACUGUAGCUAAAGGGCAUCUCUGCUGGGUUGUGACAGUAGCAAAACCAUGUUGAAAGCCAGAUUUCAUCCAAUGCACUACGAGGGACACUUUAAAACAAGUUAAAGGGUUUUAUGACCUGAUUUGGCCUUAUUUGCUCUGAGCACUGCUGCCAUUGAGUACAGCACUAAUCUGGUUUGGUCACAGUAGAGUUCACAUUUUUAUGGGCUGAUGACAAAUUAGUAUGAGGCUCAUUUACUUUGCAUAGAACAAGCCAUCAGCUCCCAAGCUGCAUGGGCAACCAGUCCUGCUGAUGCCGAAUUACCUGCCUCUCCAAGAGCCAUUUACCUACAGCAGUCUUGCUUCAAAAUCACAAGUGACCUUCACUGAGUUUUUGAGUAUGUCCUUUGUUCUACACUCCUGGAAUCUCCUAGGGAUGUUUUGAAACUGCUGUUGGCUUCCUGGGGGAGUGGAAGCAGAUGGGUCAGUUCAGAUACAAAGAGGGCAAAGGAAUAUAAGAAUGCAUACACCCUGUGCUUCUAAAGCAUCACCUCUGGUCUGCCAUGUCACAGCUGGGACAUAAUUCUCAGGAUUUCACCUUCUUAUUCCCUUGGUCUGAUACAUUUCUUCAAGCCACCUCACAUGCAUUCUCUGGGCCUGGCCAUGUUUCACUAUGCUCGUCUUCCUCCAUCUCCCAUUAGCAAAUUCUAGCACAGUUUCACUCCACAGCUCUCAGAUUUGUCAUUGCUUCUUUUGCUGCGUGGUGUGUAGAACUCACAAUGCGGCAGGCAACAACAGGAAUCAGAAGCAAAGCAGCAGUUCUAUCAGACAGAGCUGGACUCAACAGACCAGCAGAGCCCAGAAGAACGAGGAGUCUCACAGGACAGCACAGGCAUCUGAGACGGAGGCGUGUUGCUUUGGCCAGAGCUUUCUCCUGGGGUGGCUAACGAGAGAGGUCUGCUCACACUGAGCACUGCUUGGAGACUUUCCUGGCAGUUUUUUUUAACACCUCUUCUUGUUCUCACUUGUUAUCUGUCAACAGCUGAAGCCAGUUGGCUUCAUGGAGGGCGUACAAAAGGGAGCAAUGAAGAGAGUGGAUUUCCAGUCACACAAGAACGCAGUGCUUUAACAAUGGCAACAGAUAUCCUCGGCUUAAUGUUUUGUCGUAAUACAUGGAAAGUAAGAAACAGUCCAUUGAUACUGAGCACUUUAAUGAAUAAAAAAAAAAAACGAAAAAAGGUUUCAUUCCAGACUUUAAGAAUGCCAAUAUUGUGUAAUAAAAAUGGUAAACAGAAUGUUCGGAGCUUUUGCUUUGAGUCCCAAAAUGAAAAAAGAUGAAGCUUUAUUACUUUUUUUUUUUUUUAAUACAGUCUAGAGCCUUUCACUUUGGCUGCUAAUACAAAGAUGAUGGGAUAUAACACUGUGACACAGCAGCUGCCUUUUCAAUGAGGAAAGAGCCUCCAAACUUUGGUUUGCUAGUAUGACAUUCACCAAGAGACUAUUUAAUAAAAAAACAUGUAGUAUGAGGUCAGGUAUCUACAAGCUGGAUCCGGAUCCAUUAGUACAAAUGGACUUCAAAGCUUUGAUCCAUCCGUUUCAAACUGAAGGGAUCGUGUUGGCAUGUUUUGAGAGAAUAGACAUAUGCUCUGGAUGUCCAUGUUCCUCUUCAUCAAAAUCAC